AUUCGGGUUGAUAACUAGGCGGCGAUCUCGAUCAUGAAAUUCACUCUACGACGUCCGCCCUUUAAAUGCCCGAUAGAUGAUUUUUUUGGCGUUGAUCUUACAAGUUGCCUGUCUAUUAUUUUUCCAACCGUGGUUGGUAACAUUUAAUUCGUCGCCACAUUA
rfam:Ajellomyces capsulatus NAm1 scaffold_2 genomic scaffold, whole genome shotgun sequence.